rnacentral:rRNA from 1 species
ACGUGAUUACCGGCAAAACUUAAGCGGGUCACUAAGCGGAGGAAAAGAAACUAACCAGGAUUCCCUUAGUAACGGCGAGUGAACAGGGAAAAGCCCAGCACCGAAGCCUGUGGUCGUUUGGCCCCUAGGCAAUGUGGUGUUCAGGUUAGCUCGCGAAGAUGCUGCUCCACCCUAAGUCCUAUAAUGAGUAAGGUUACUCGGACAUGGCCCAAUGAGGGUGAAAGGCCCGUGGGGGUGGAGAUUCAGAAUGGCCAGUAUCUUCCUGAGCAGACCUUGGAGUCGGGUUGUUUGUGAAUGCAGCCCAAAGCGGGUGGUAAACUCCAUCCAAGGCUAAAUACUAGCACGAGUCCGAUAGCGAACAAGUACCGUGAGGGAAAGUUGAAAAGUACUUUGAAGAGAGAGUAAACAGUGCGUGAAACCGUUCAGAGGUAAACAGGUGGAGUUGAACUGCAAGCUCUGAGGAUUCAGCUGGUGAGUAUGGCAUGAGCUUGGUCAUAUUGGUUGUGUGCUCGGGUCUGCUUAGCUGCAGGUCUCCGCUUCGGUGGGGAUGCGCGAAUCACUCAUCAGGUGUUGUGCGCCCGGGUACUGACGGACCUGCUUGCCAGUGCACUUACUC